GAUGAAGAAACGCAGCGAAAUGCGAUAAUUAAUGUGAAUUGCAGAAUUCCGUGAAUCAUCGAGUCUUUGAACGCACAUUGCGCCUCAUGGCAUUCCGUGAGGCAUGCCCAUCUCAGCGUUAGAAAAUAUUCUCUAAUUUUAGUUUUGUGCUAAAAUUUGGAUCAUGUCAAGGAAGCUAUUACUAUUAUUGUGAUCGCUCUUUGGAAAUUGAUAGGUCUUUGAGUUGCUACUCAUAGAACGUGAUGAAUCUUUCUUCGUUCUAUUGUAAUUCACUCUGGUAGUCCUAAAACUUGUAUGCCUGUGGCAUAUCUUGUAAUUUGACCUGAGAUUGGGUAGGGAUACCUGCUGAACUUAAGCAUAUCAAUAAGCGGAGGA
rnacentral:misc_RNA from 1 species